UGAACGCUGGCGGCGUGCCUAAUACAUGCAAGUCGAGCGAACGGACGAGAAGCUUGCUUCUCUGAUGUUAGCGGCGGACGGGUGAGUAACACGUGGAUAACCUACCUAUAAGACUGGGAUAACUUCGGGAAACCGGAGCUAAUACCGGAUAAUAUUUUGAACCGCAUGGUUCAAAAGUGAAAGACGGUCUUGCUGUCACUUAUAGAUGGAUCCGCGCUGCAUUAGCUAGUUGGUAAGGUAACGGCUUACCAAGGCAACGAUGCAUAGCCGACCUGAGAGGGUGAUCGGCCACACUGGAACUGAGACACGGUCCAGACUCCUACGGGAGGCAGCAGUAGGGAAUCUUCCGCAAUGGGCGAAAGCCUGACGGAGCAACGCCGCGUGAGUGAUGAAGGUCUUCGGAUCGUAAAACUCUGUUAUUAGGGAAGAACAUAUGUGUAAGUAACUGUGCACAUCUUGACGGUACCUAAUCAGAAAGCCACGGCUAACUACGUGCCAGCAGCCGCGGUAAUACGUAGGUGGCAAGCGUUAUCCGGAAUUAUUGGGCGUAAAGCGCGCGUAGGCGGUUUUUUAAGUCUGAUGUGAAAGCCCACGGCUCAACCGUGGAGGGUCAUUGGAAACUGGAAAACUUGAGUGCAGAAGAGGAAAGUGGAAUUCCAUGUGUAGCGGUGAAAUGCGCAGAGAUAUGGAGGAACACCAGUGGCGAAGGCGACUUUCUGGUCUGUAACUGACGCUGAUGUGCGAAAGCGUGGGGAUCAAACAGGAUUAGAUACCCUGGUAGUCCACGCCGUAAACGAUGAGUGCUAAGUGUUAGGGGGUUUCCGCCCCUUAGUGCUGCAGCUAACGCAUUAAGCACUCCGCCUGGGGAGUACGACCGCAAGGUUGAAACUCAAAGGAAUUGACGGC
rnacentral:rRNA from 1 species